UAGAUCUCAAUAACAAAUAAUAUGAGAAUUAAAUAUGAAAUUGUAUGAAUAUUGAAUUCCCAAAAAUUAAACAAUAUUUGAUCAAGUUUCACAAUUCAUUAACCAACCAAAGUUUCAACCAAUAUUCAACUAGAUGAAAAGAAUUCAGCCACUCAUGGCUGAAUAAAAAAACAGAAAAAUAAAAAGGAAAAGAAAGAAACCCUAGGAGCUAAGACCUUCCUCGCGCCGGGCGGCGGAAUUGCCG
rnacentral:lncRNA from 1 species